rnacentral:rRNA from 1 species
GAUGAACGCUGGCGGCGUGCUUAACACAUGCAAGUCGAACGAUGAAGCCCAGCUUGCUGGGUGGAUUAGUGGCGAACGGGUGAGUAACACGUGAGUAACCUGCCCUUGACUCUGGGAUAAGCGCUGGAAACGGCGUCUAAUACCGGAUACGAGCUUCCACCGCAUGGUGAGUUGCUGGAAAGAAUUUCGGUCAAGGAUGGACUCGCGGCCUAUCGGGUAGUUGGUGAGGUAACGGCUCACCAAGCCGACGACGGGUAGCCGGCCUGAGAGGGUGACCGGCCACACUGGGACUGAGACACGGCCCAGACUCCUACGGGAGGCAGCAGUGGGGAAUAUUGCACAAUGGGCGCAAGCCUGAUGCAGCAACGCCGCGUGAGGGACGAAGGCCUUCGGGUCGUAAACCUCUUUUAGCAGGGAAGAAGCGAAAGUGACGGUACCUGCAGAAAAAGCACCGGCUAACUACGUG